rnacentral:lncRNA from 1 species
CCUCUAUUAUUUAUUCUGUAAAGUAUGGGAACUGAACCUCAAAAGAAGGUUUUUGUCAGUUUGACAAUGCAUAGUAAAAUAAUUGCCUUUUAAAUUCAUUCCUUAGAAGAAGCAAAAAGAAGAAAAGAAGUUCCAGAAAAGAAAGCUAUUCAUGAAGUUAAAACAAAAGGUACUACCUUAUUUUAAAAUGUGGCAGUUAAUUUACCCACUCUUCAGAGACCUCUGCCUAUUAUAAUUCCUAAAGAAAUAGAAAUAAAAAUAAUUUAUGGUUCGUGUCUUAGAAGCAGAAGAAAGAAAAAAGGUAACUCACAAGAAGAAAAUUAUUCCUGAAAUUAAAGGGAAAGCUUUGGAACAGGAAAAGAAGGUAACCCAAGAGAAGAAAGCUAUUUCUGAAACAAAAAUUAAAGGGGGAAAAGAAGAAAGAAAGAAAGCUCUUGAGAAAACAGCUGUCCCUGAAGUUAAAAAGGCAGAACCAGAAAAAGCUCCUGCAGCCCAUCCAGCUUCUGUGAAGGUAGCUGUGCGAGAACCAUUCAAGAAAGAAAAGCCAGUCGAAAGAGCCAAGCAGCCAGUGAAGGAUGUGCCUGUAAAAGCAUCAGUUACACAAGAAACUCAUAAACCAAAAGAAACAGAACUAACCAAAAUAGAACCUGCUGCCCAUUUGACUAAAAAAGCAGUACAUGAAAAGAAAGAAGACAGAUUAUUAAAGGCAGUGGAGCAAGACAAACCAAAAUCCAAAGAAACAAAAGAUAUCAGAGGGAAAGAAGCAAAACAUGUGGCACCAAAAGUCAAAGAUGUUGCAAAAGAAAAAGUGAAGUCUCCUACUACUGUGAAAGAAAAAGAGGCAGUAAAACCAAAGGAAGUAAAGCCUACCAUUCCCCAGAAGCAGAAAGGACAAGAGGUUCUUAAGCACGACAAAGGAGCUCCUCAAGGAAAGCCAGAAGAAAUCACAGUAGCAGAUAAGAAAAAAGCAGAAAAGCCUUUGAAGGAAAAAGACAUCCCAGCAGUAAAAGAAUCCCAUCACCAUCGUAACAUGACAACAGACAAGCUUUCAAAGGCUUCAAAAGCAACAGCUGCUGUCCGCUACUAUCAGUGUGUCUUUGUAAAUGGAUACAAUGACUACAAACCGCAACACCCUGUUACCCCUGCCCAGGACUACAAAGGAAAGGCCGGGCAGACAAAAAAUUCUGGGCACAAGAUCAAGACACUGAAACAAUAG